GGAAGCUUGGCACAGUGGUUUGAGCGUGGGACCAUGACUCUGGAGACCAGGGUUCGAUUCCCCGCUCAGCCA